GAGGGGGUUGUAGGCAGUCCCUGGGGGAAAGCUAAGGGCAGUAGACCAGGGGUGGGGCUAAUCUGCUGAGGCAGAAAGCCUGGGCCAGGAAACUGAAAAGGGCUGCGGGUGAGGAGAGAAGCUUAGUGGAGGGGCAGUCUGGUGAUUUUCCCCACGCAGAGGCUUAGAAGUCAGGAGGAAGCCUAUGGCGGUCUCUAGCUGGGGUGGCUGUUUUGGCUAGAAGAACAGGUGGGGAGCUAUGGAGUGCUGUGAGUGGCAGAGCCCACCGGAGCUGGCAUAGUAGGAAGGCAAAAGGGCAGGGCUGAGCUGUUGUUUUGAGUCGCAUUGUGCCUGGGCUCAGCUCCUGUGACUGCCCCUGCACAUCCCGAGCUGUGGAUUGUGGGCUAAUACCAGCCACUGAAGCCAUGUGAACCACAGGUCCCGGACGGCAUGUUUUCUCUACUUACCAAAUUAAGCUGCCUUACCCACAGCUUUCCUGAUGAUGGAAGAGAAUCUGCUGAGCUGAAGCCAGCUGUGGCUUGGCAGGCGGAGGGAAGGGCCCUGGAGUAAAGUACUGAGUGGUGUCUGUCACUUUGGUGACUCUCCCUCCUUGUCUAACCACGACAGUCUCCCAGCUUUGCCUAGCUGACUGGUCUGUGAGCCUGGUGUUGACUAGACCCAUGAUCCCAGAGCUGAUCCUAACCUCUCUGGUCUGAGGGCUGGAUUAUGGGCUGUGAUGAGAGCUCCCUUCCUAUGCAGUGCUGUGCCCAGCCGUGUAAUCUCCUGUAUGGUGCCGAGGGCCAGUUCUGGGGAGGAGGGGGCAUAACAAAGGGAAAGGGAGUAGUGUUCUCUCCUCUUCCUUGCUAAUCUAGCUUUCAACAGAUCCAGGAUUGCCCUGGUUUCUCAGGCCCUGAUCCUCAGCUGGUGGAACUUGGUCGACCUCAGUUGAAAUCAAUGGAGUGAUGUUCAUUUAACCCACCUGAGCAACUGAUAAUUCCUGAGUUCUCCUUCCUGCUGAGGUCACAGAGCACUGAUUUCCCUUGGGAUCCUGGGCUCUGGUAGAAAGGCUCCUGCCCCUCGCAAAGUUCCCUACUGAAUCGGGACAUCCAACUCCCAUUCGUCCCAAUAGGGCAUCUUUGACAAUCUUGGCCUCAGUGUUCACUGUACUUAAAUGAAGUGAUUUUUGCUGCUGGUGAAAAGCGUGGUCCGGGUCAGCGAGAUCCUCUCUAUGCAUGCCGGCUCCCCCCACGCCAAGCCCUGUCUCUGUACCACACCUCAGGCUGGCCUCUAGCCCUGGAAGGGGAUUUCAGUCUCCAAGGGCCAUGCACAAUGCAGAUUGCUGGCAAGGGUGGUGGGUUAGAGCAAGGUGUGUUUGGAAACAUGGACUCCUCUUCACCAGCCACUGGCCUGAGCUCCACCGUGCUCGUUACACAUGCACUCACCCGCCACACUGCCACAGCAAGAUCAACAGAGGCGCUCCUGCUGCAGCUUCCAUGUGCCAGCAGCUAUCUCCUGCU